AAUAUUCAUUUAUCCACUUUAAAACUUAUCAAAAACACAUGUUUUCAAAAAGAAAAUUAUUUCAAAAAGUUACAAUUUACAAAGCAUUAUUCUAAUAGAGUCCAAUCAAAUGUUUGUUUUAGGGGAUAGAGAGAUGAGUGCUGACAAGUGUAAAAGGUCCUCAGUUCAGGGAUCUCCACAGCAAUGAGGCAAGCAUGUUGCCUCUGUCUCUGUAGAACCAAAAGAAAUUCUAGAGCCAUUCUAAUUAGGAUGAUUUAUGUUUUUCUAUUGUCAUCUAUAAUUCCUGCUUUAAACCCAAUGAGUCACUUGUGCUUGGUGGUUAGAAACAGUGAGUUUGAGUUUUACAGGACGUGGGCUCCUUUAUGUUAUUCAUAUAAUAAUAGAAGCAAGCAAGGCAGAGGGUAUCCCUAAGCUAAUAACUGCUCCUCGUUCCUGACAAAGCUGCAGCACGAGUGAAUAUUCCAGCACUUUGACUCUCUCCUCAGACACAGGGAGUCCAACAUGGCGAAUUCUUACACAUCAGGAAUUGAUUAAAUACAGCACAGGCUCUGCUGAACCCCAUAUUAUGGGGCCUAGCCUGAGUUUAAGUGCAAUUCAGACAUGCUAGGUGAAUGGAUGAGGCUAACUUGCAUUUGGGCUAACACAUUUCCUAGCUAACACAUUUCUUGAGAGGAGUGACCCCCAAGUAAACAUAAGCAAACAAGAAACCACAGCUAGAGAAGAUGUGAGGCAGCUCAGGAUGCAGAUUGUGUAUCUCUCAGAUCUGUUUCUCAGCUCAGCCUCAGCUAGAUCAUGUCUGAUCUCUAUGGAGAAGAGAGAGAUGGAAAUAAACACUUAGGAAUAGCAGCACUGAAGACUGCAAGACCCUGGGGUGUGUAACAGCCAGAAGAGACUAUCUCCUCGAUUGCCACAGCACAGCCUGGGCACAGUGAGCUCUGCAGUGCGCUGGGGUGGACCUGGUGGAGCAGUGGCAGUGCUGACUGGCACUGCAGCCAGUGGAGUGUGGAGCUCGCACUGCUUGGUGGAGAAUGCCAGUGUUCAGCUAGCAGAGGUGGCCUCCAGCCUCUGCAGGCUUGCCUAGGAACAUGUACUGGAUAUACCAAGGAGCAUAUGUUGGUGGAGGGUUACUUUGCAGCCAGGUGGAAAUUGUGGGAUUAACAAUUAGGGGGCUAAGGGCCAUUGAAAUUUUCAUUAUGAUUGUUCCCAGUUAGGUUGUUUUGGCCAGAAAAUAAUCAAGGUGCUUUUAAUGAGGAUGCUUUGGUCUUAUGGAAAUAGCACUGUUGAUUUCUACUCAGCAGAGGUUAUGAGAGGUGCUAACCGUAUAAUUUUGGCAUUGAAAAGUGGAACUCAAGGGAUCAGCAAUUAAUGUUUGAUCCUUUUCUUGAGUGUUUCCUGUCUAAGGCCUCCCCUGAGUCUGAGGGGCUAAGACAGCACAGAAAAAGACGACCCAAUCAAUACCCUUGCAGGGAUGAAAAGAAGGACAUUUUGCUCCCAGGAAUUGCAGUGCUGCUACGAUUUCGAAUUACAUCACCUCAAGAAAGAAGAGACAGCCCCAUGGCAGAGCUGCAAAAGAGGACCAGUGCUCCACCUUGGUGAAAUACAGGAUGACUGGGGUGAAGGAGAUGAAGAUCAAAUUGAAGAAACCCAAGGUGGAGACAAAGUGUGCAGCUUCCCCAAAGUUGGCACUUCCGAGAAACAUCUUAAACAGGACCUGAAAUGAGAAAGAAGCUCUACAGUCACACAGAGACUUAGCCAGAGCAGAAAGGUAAUUCUGUUUCUCAAAGCUAGGUGAGUAUGAAGCAGCUGGUUCACAAAUGAAACCUUGAAUUCCAAAGCCUUCAGCAGCCCCUAAAAAUGCAGAUCUCAGACUCCACUGCUGGCAGCUGGUGUCCUCAAGUUGAAGACUGAAGAAAGCUUUCGGGAGAGCCAGCAAGAUGGCUAAAUAGGAACAGCUCUGGUCUGCAGCUUCCAGAGAGAUCAACACAGAUGGUGAGUGAUUCUUGCAUUUUCAACUGAGGUACCCAAUUUAUCUUACUGGGACUGGUUGGACAGUGGGUACAGCCCAUGAAGGUGAGCUGAAGCAGUGCAGGGUGUUGCCUCGCACCCAGGAAGCCCAAGGGUUCUGGGUAUUUCCCUUUCCUAUCCAAGAAAAGCCUUAAGAAACGAUACCAGAAGGAACAUGCACUCUGAUCCAGAUACUGCAUUUUACCCACAAUCUUCACAACCGGCAAACCAGGAGAUUCCCUUCAGUGCCUGGCUCAGUGGGUCCCACCCCUAUGGAGCCCAGCAAGCUAAGGUACACUGGCUUGAAAUUCUCACUACUAGCACAGUAGUCUGAGGUCAACCUGGGAUGCUUCAGCUUGGUGGGAGGAGGGGCAUCUGCCAUUGCUGAGGCUUGAGUUAGGCAAUUUUACCCUCACAAUGUAAACAAAGCUGUGGGAAGUUCAAUCUGUGUGGAGCCCACCACAGCUCAGCAAGAUAUAGUGAAAAGAAAGUGAGAAGUGUGGCCACUUUUCACAAUCUGCGGGCAGAUUGUGCCUCUCUGGGCAGGGCAUCUUUGAAAUAAAAGGCAGCAGCCCCAGUUAGGGACUUACAGACAAAACCCCCAACUCCCUGGGACAGAGCACCUGGGGAAAGAGGCAGUUGUGGGUGCAGCUUCAGUAGACGUAAACAUCCCUGCCUGACAGCUCUGAAAAGAGU